rnacentral:siRNA from 1 species
GGCACCUAAGAAGAUUGUUGACAC